rnacentral:misc_RNA from 1 species
GAUGAAGAACGUAGCGAAAUGCGAUACGUAAUGUGAAUUGCAGAAUUCAGUGAAUCAUCGAGUCUUUGAACGCACAUUGCGCCCCCUGGUAUUCCGGGGGGCAUGCCUGUCCGAGCGUCAUUGCUGCCCUCAAGCGCGGCUUGUGUGUUGGGCCUCCGUCCUCCUCCCGGGGGACGGGCCCGAAAGGCAGCGGCGGCACCGCGUCCGGUCCUCGAGCGUAUGGGGCUUCGUCACCCGCUCUUGUAGGCCCGGCCGGCGCUUGCCGACACAUCAAUCUUUUUUCCAGGUUGACCUCGGAUCAGGUAGGGAUACCCGCUGAACUUAAGCAUAUCAAUAAGCGGAGGA